ACUCCUACGGGAGGCAGCAGUGGGAAUAUUGGACAAUGGGGGGACCCGUGCAUCAGCCAUGCCGCGUGUGUGAAGAAGGCCUUAUGGUUGUAAAGCACUUUAAGCGAGGAGGAGGCUACUAGUAUUAAUACUACUGGAUAGUGGACGUUACUCGCAGAAUAAGCACCGGCUAACUCUGUGCCAGCAGCCGCGGUAAUACAGAGGGUGCGAGCGUUAAUCGGAUUUACUGGGCGUAAAGCGUGCGUAGGCGGCCAUUUAAGUCAAAUGUGAAAUCCCCG
rnacentral:rRNA from 1 species